rnacentral:sRNA from 12 species
AUAGCCCUGUAUUUAUCGAAGGGUUACGUUUACGUGACUUAUUGAUGUAGGUAAAACGGGGCUUU